rnacentral:rRNA from 1 species
GACGAACGCUGGCGGCGUGCUUAACACAUGCAAGUCGAACGGAAAGGCCCAGCUUGCUGGGUACUCGAGUGGCGAACGGGUGAGUAACACGUGGGUGAUCUGCCCCUGACUUUGGGAUAAGCCUGGGAAACUGGGUCUAAUACCGGAUAUGACCUUACAUCGCAUGGUGUUUGGUGGAAAGCUUUUGCGGUUGGGGAUGGGCCCGCGGCCUAUCAGCUUGUUGGUGGGGUAAUGGCCUACCAAGGCGACGACGGGUAGCCGACCUGAGAGGGUGAUCGACCACACUGGGACUGAGACACGGCCCAGACUCCUACGGGAGGCAGCAGUGGGGAAUAUUGCACAAUGGGCGCAAGCCUGAUGCAGCGACGCCGCGUGAGGGAUGACGGCCUUCGGGUUGUAAACCUCUUUCACCAGGGACGAAGCGUGAGUGACGGUACCUGGAGAAGAAGCACCGGCCAACUACGUG